AUGAAAACGUGUGAUAGCGUCUGGGUUUGAUCUGCCAUGUUCAGGGUACACGCUGGAACCGAGACACAACACAGAAAGAUAAGAAAAGAGACUAAAGGAAGAAGUAGUAUUGUUUCUCAACCUUGGGAAGGCUGAGUCAAGACCAGAAUGGAUUUCACGGCCCGUGGAGGCUGGGAUCAGUGGUUUCUAUCUAUCUAGACUUCCAAUAUGUAUUUCCUGGUGAUUUAAUAAGCCAAUGUCUUUUGAGAUCUUAGAUUUCACGGGUGGUACACACGGGGUCUACUCCUAUCGCUCCGAACUUCUAUAUUAGAUGAUUUUGUGGUUUUUUCAACCAGUGUCUUUGAAAUCACAUAUUCUAAGGAGUUUGUGUGACAUUUUCUCGAUUACAAGAUGUGAUUUUGUUUUCUUAUUCAUGCUGACUGGAUACCUGUAAGAAAAUUAUUUAAAUAGAAGUAGGUUCUACGUGAACUUUUAAUCAUUCAAAUGGAAAAUAGGCAGGGUAUAUAUACUUAUUUGUGGUCAAACUUAGUGUAUAUGUUCUAAGUACCAACCAAGAGAAAAAUAGUACACACGUGACAUUUUGAAAAAUAAUUACUCAGUGUGAAAGUCAAAAAUAAAAAUCAAGAAAAAAAACAAUACAUGAAUAUUUCAAAACUGAACAAAAAGGUUAUUUUUCGAAUAUUAUGAAUCUACCAGCGCCUCAAAGAGGAAAUAAGUUCGAGGAAUAAAUGUAAAUAAACUGAUUCAAGAAAUCAAAAGACAAUAAAGGAAACUAGUUCUAUUCAAGAUGUGCAAAGGCAGGACAUUAUUUAUCAAGUUCUCCCAAGUUCUGGUGAUUAUAACCUCAGUCCUACAACACGUCCAUGGCGGAUCUGUGGUAGUGGAUGCAGCAAGCAAGGCCCAGUUACAACAAGGCCCAUUCAGAGACCCCCAGUGGACAAAACACGAACUACCAGCUGACCCAUAUGAGGAUGGUAUCUACAACUCGUGGCUCAUUCCACCAGCUUCCACUAAGAGAGGAAAAAUAGACAUGACAUCCUUUCCUGAGCAGAUUCCUACAGUUAUCUCAGGAGAGAAUCCUCCAUGCAUACCAGAAGAAGGGAUUAAAUUGACCAUAUUAUUUUCAAAGAAUCACCCCUGGCUGAGGUCAGUGGGGGGAGGUAAUUACGACGUGACACAGCUGCCGCCAAGUUCACCUGAGGAGGUGAUUCAGGAAAGACUGUUUUCCAAGGAGUUAAAAAAAGAAAAUGAAUUCUUUGAAUGGGGGAGGGUAAAUUGAUGCUAUUGUUAAUAGUUUUCAUAUAACUGGGAAUGUAUAUCUUUAUGUAUUGCCUUCGUACAUUAAAAAUAACCUUUACUU